GACGUAGGUGGCGAACGUUAUCCGGAAUCAUUGGGCGUAAAGGGUGCGUAGAUGGUCUAGUAAGUUAUUGGUGGAAAAUCGAGGCUCAACCUCGUGGAAGCUGGUAAUACUGUUAUGCUAGAGUGCAGGAGAGGUUAACGGAACUCCAUGUGGAGCGGUAAAAUGUGUAGAUAUCGGGAGGAACACCUGUGGCGAAAGCGGCUCACUGGACCACAACUGACGCUGAGGCGCGAAAGCUAGGGGAGCAAACAGG
rnacentral:rRNA from 1 species